AGCGAACGUUAGCGGCGGGCUUAACACAUGCAAGUCGAGCGAGAAAGGGGCUUCGGCCCUGAGUAAAGCGGCGGACGGGUGAGUAACACGUAGGUAAUCUUCCCUUGAGCGGGGGACAACGGUCCGAAAGGACCGCUAAUACCGCAUACGUUCCCGAGNNUUGNANACNNNGGNAGGAAAGCUAGGCAGCAAUGUCCGGCACUCGAGGAGGAGCCUGCGUCGCAUCAGCUAGUUGGUGGGGUAACGGCCUACCAAGGCGAAGACGCGUAGCUGGUCUGAGAGGAUGAUCAGCCACACUGGGACUGAGACACGGCCCAGACUCCUACGGGAGGCAGCAGUGGGGAAUAUUGGACAAUGGGCGCAAGNNUGNUCCAGCCACGCCGCGUGAGUGAUGAAGGCCUUCGGGUCGUAAAGCUCUGUGGGGAGGGACGAACCGCUGGAUGUUCAUAGCAUCCAGCAUGACGGUACCUCCUUAGCAAGCACCGGCUANCUUCGUGCCNGCAGCCGCGGUAAUACGAANGGUGCAAACNUUGCUCGNAAUUAUUGGGCGUAAAGCGCACGUAGGCGGCUUAGCAAGUCGGAAGUGAANUCCCUCGGCUCAACCAAGGAAGUGCUUUC
rnacentral:rRNA from 1 species